rnacentral:rRNA from 1 species
UGGGGAAUUUUGGACAAUGGGCGAAAGCCUGAUCCAGCAAUGCCGCGUGCAGGAUGAAGGCCCUCGGGUUGUAAACUGCUUUUGUACGGAACGAAAAGCCUGGGGCUAAUAUCCCCGGGUCAUGACGGUACCGUAAGAAUAAGC